GUAAAGGUUUCGACAGGGGUUCUGAAACUGGAGAAGCUAUCCGAAGCCGAUCGUCAAACGGCAAACCUAAAUAUAAACGCUAAUCGUAACGAUUUAGCCCUGGCUGCCUGAUCGCAGUCAGCGUCGCCUGAGUUGUACCUGUGCAAUUCGGAUACGGCGUCGAGAUCACAGGAAACGACACGGAACCUGCUCCGGUUCCGCGGGCGUAUCAGGAGCUACUGACAUGAGUGGAGUGUUUGCUCUCCGUUCAUACGAGGGAAACGCCGCAGGGCAGAAGUAACAAACUACGAUAGUAGAAGGACAGGGGAGGGGCUUUUGGACACGGGUUCGAUUCCCGUCUAAUCCACU
rnacentral:tmRNA from 1 species